UUGUCUUAUGAUGAUUGGCUUAUGUUCAACUGCUCUUAAGCCCGUGAAAGAAAGUAGCCUUUCUGAACACAU